AACCCCCCGAUACCUGUCACAUCUUGGCGGAAGUUCAGGUAUCGAGGGGUCCAAAAGCAGGCGCAUAGCCUGUGAAGGAUUAUAACGCAUGCAAUACAGAAAACAAUAUCCGGCCGCCAUA
rfam:Kluyvera ascorbata ATCC 33433 GKAS.assembly.120, whole genome shotgun sequence.